AUUGAACGCUGGCGGCAAGCCUAACACAUGCAAGUCGAACGAGUGGCGGACGGGUGAGUAAUGUCUGGGAAACUGCCUGAUGGAGGGGGAUAACUACUGGAAACGGUAGCUAAUACCGCAUACCAUCGGAUGUGCCCAGAUGGGAUUAGCGAGUAGGUGGGGGAAAGGCUCACCUAGGCGUCGAUCCCUAGCUGGUCUGAGAGGAUGACGAGCCACACUGGAACUGAGGCACGGUCCAGACUCCUACGUGAGGCGGAAGUGGGGAAUAUUGCACAAUGGGCGCAAGCAUGAUGCAGCCAUGCCGCGUGUAUGAAGAAGGCCUUCGGGUUGUAAAGUACUUUAGGCGGGGAGGCGUUACCCGCAGAAGGAGCACCGGCUAACUCAGUGCCAGCCGCCGCGGUAAUAC
rnacentral:rRNA from 1 species